rnacentral:rRNA from 2 species
GGCUCAGCGAGCGGACGGAUCGCGGAGCUUGCUCCCUGAAGUCAGCGGCGGACGGGUGAGUAACACGUGGGCAACCUGCCUGUAAGACUGGGAUAACUCCGGGAAACCGGGGCUAAUACCGGAUAACUCUUUUCCUCACAUGAGGAAAAGCUGAAAGAUGGUUUCGGCUAUCACUUACAGAUGGGCCCGCGGCGCAUUAGCUAGUUGGUGAGGUAACGGCUCACCAAGGCCACGAUGCGUAGCCGACCUGAGAGGGUGAUCGGCCACACUGGGACUGAGACACGGCCCAGACUCCUACGGGAGGCAGCAGUAGGGAAUCUUCCGCAAUGGACGAAAGUCUGACGGAGCAACGCCGCGUGAGUGAUGAAGGUUUUCGGAUCGUAAAACUCUGUUGUCAGGGAAGAACAAGUACCGGAGUAACUGCCGGUACCUUGACGGUACCUGACCAGAAAGCCACGGCUAACUACGUGCCAGCAGCCGCGGUAAUACGUAGGUGGCAAGCGUUGUCCGGAAUUAUUGGGCGUAAAGCGCGCGCAGGCGGUUCCUUAAGUCUGAUGUGAAAGCCCCCGGCUCAACCGGGGAGGGUCAUUGGAAACUGGGGAACUUGAGUGCACAAGAAAGAGUGGAAUUCCACUUGUAGCGGUGAAAUGCGUAAGAUGUGGGAACACCGGGGGAAGGCAGUCUU